rnacentral:rRNA from 1 species
UGACCCUAGUAUGGGUAGGAGGACCUACUGAGUUUAAGAAUAUCAAUAAGUGAAUGAGAAGAUACUUGCUAGGGUUCCCUUAGUAAUGGUGAGUGAACCAGGAUCUUCCUAGCAUGGUAACCAGGCUAUAAUGCAGGUCGAAUUAUAGUUUGGAGAAGCAUCCUUAACUACAGAACGGGCCUAAGUCUCUUGAAAAGGGGCACCAGGGAGGGUUAGAGCUCCAUUCGGCCAAAACCCUAAUAUAACUCAAGGUAAUAUCACUGAGUCGGGUUGCUUGGGGAUGCAUCCCCAAUUGGGUGAUAAAUUUUGUCCAAGACUAAAUAUGGGCAAGAGACUGAUAGAAAAUAAGUACCAUAAAGGAAAGAUGAAAAAACUUUGAAAAGAGAGUUAGGAGUGCUUGAAAUUGUCGAGAGGGAACUUCUUAGCUUGAGGUGUGGUUCAUUGCAGGCCUUACUGGUGGCUAAAUCUCUGGUGAAUGAUGCUCGAGAAGGCAUAGUCAGUAUGGUCAAUGAAGCAU